UGGGGGGAUAUUGGACAAUGGGGGAAACCCUGAUCCAGCGAUGCCGCGUGAGGGAAGAAGGUUUUCGGAUUGUAAACCUCUGUGGACAGGGACGAUAAUGACGGUACCUGUUUAGAAAGCCACGGCUAACUACGUGCCAGCAGCCGCGGUAACACGUAAGGUGCGAGCGUUGUUCGGAAUCAUUGGGCGUAAAGGGCAUGUAGGCGGUCUGUCAAGCCAGGCGUGAAAGCCAGGGGCUCAACCCCUGAACUGCGCUUGGAACUGGCGGACUGGAGUCGCUGAGGGGGAACCGGAAUUCCUGGUGUAGGGGUGAAAUCUGUAGAUAUCAGGAAGAACACCGAUGGCGAAGGCAGGUUUCCAGCAGACGACUGACGCUGAGGUGCGAAGGUGCGGGGAGCAAACAGGAUUAGAUACCC
rnacentral:rRNA from 1 species